AUGGUUCUUUUCAGUUUGAUUCUCCGGAGCCAAUCAUCUCAGGAUUAUUCAUUCCAGCUUUCAGCUAUUGUUCUCCAAAUCUUACCGGUGCAUCAUUCAAAUUUCUCUAAUCAGCCGGCAUCUCUUCGUUCUCUUGUAUCUAAAUUUUCCCAAGUAUCUUUGUUCGUUUUCAAAUUCUUACCGGUGAUUCAUCUCUUUUCUUCGUUCAUUUUCAGUUCUUAUGGUGGUUCGUUCAAGAUUUCUCUUCCUCCUUUAUCAUAUUUAUUUAUUCAUUGUUUCAAUCCUACCGAUGGUUCGUUGAAGAUCUUCCCAAGUUCACGCUAUAUCUCUCUAUAA
rnacentral:rRNA from 1 species